rnacentral:rRNA from 1 species
ACGCUCGACACCUACGGGAGCAGCAGUCGGGAAUAUUGCGCAAUGGAGGAAACUCUGACGCAGUGACGCCGCGUAUAGGAAGAAGGUUUUCGGAUUGUAAACUAUUGUCGUUAGGGAAGAGAAAGGACAGUACCUAAGGAGGAAGCUCCGGCUAACUACGUGCCAGCACGCCGGACGGUAAUCUGGACGGCCGGGCGUGGACGAAGGC